rnacentral:rRNA from 1 species
UACGAAGGGGACUAGCGUUGUUCGGAAUCACUGGGCGUAAAGCGCACGUAGGCGGAUUUGUAAGUCAGGGGUGAAAUCCCGGGGCUCAACCUCGGAACUGCCUUUGAUACUGCGAAUCUUGAGUCCGAUAGAGGUGGGUGGAAUUCCUAGUGUAGAGGUGAAAUUCGUAGAUAUUAGGAAGAACACCAGUGGCGAAGGCGGCCCACUGAUCGGUACUGACGCUGAGGUGCGAAAGCGUGGGGAGCAAAACAGGG